rnacentral:rRNA from 1 species
GACGAACGCUGGCGGCGUGCUUAACACAUGCAAGUCGAACGGAAAGGCCCUGCUUUUGUGGGGUGCUCGAGUGGCGAACGGGUGAGUAACACGUGAGUAACCUGCCCUUGACUUUGGGAUAACUUCAGGAAACUGGGGCUAAUACCGGAUAGGAGCUCCUGCUGCAUGGUGGGGGUUGGAAAGUUUCGGCGGUUGGGGAUGGACUCGCGGCUUAUCAGCUUGUUGGUGGGGUAGUGGCUUACCAAGGCUUUGACGGGUAGCCGGCCUGAGAGGGUGACCGGCCACAUUGGGCCUGAGAUACGGCCCAGCCUCCUACGGGAGGCAGCAGUGGGGAAUAUUGCACAAUGGGCGGAAGCCUGAUGCAGCAACGCCGCGUGCGGGAUGACGGCCUUCGGGUUGUAAACCGCUUUCGCCUGCGACGAAGCGUGAGUGACGGUAAUGGGUAAAGAAGCACCGGCUAACUACGUG